rnacentral:rRNA from 1 species
AGCCAUGGGCAGGUUGAAGGUUGGGUAACACUAACUGGAGGACCGAACCGACUAAUGUUGAAAAAUUAGCGGAUGACCUGUGGCUGGGGGUGAAAGGCCAAUCAAACCGGGAGAUAGCUGGUUCUCCCCGAAAGCUAUUUAGGUAGCGCCUCGUGAAUUCAUCUCCGGGGGUAGAGCACUGUUUCGGCUAGGGGGCCAUCCCGGCUUACCAACCCGAUGCAAACUGCGAAUACCGGAGAAUGUUAUCACGGGAGACACACGGCGGGUGCUAACGUCCGUCGUGAAGAGGGAAACAACCCAGACCGCCAGCUAAGGUCCCAAAGUCAUGGUUAAGUGGGAAACGAUGUGGGAAGGCCCAGACAGCCAGGAUGUUGGCUUAGAAGCAGCCAUCAUUUAAAGAAAGCGUAAUAGCUCACUGGUCGAGUCGGCCUGCGCGGAAGAUGUAACGGGGCUAAACUAUGCACCGAAGCUGCGGCAGCGACACUAUGUGUUGUUGGGUAGGGGAGCGUUCUGUAAGCCUGUGAAGGUGUGUCGUGAGGCAUGCUGGAGGUAUCAGAAGUGCGAAUGCUGACAUAAGUAACGAUAAAGCGGGUGAAAAGCCCGCUCGCCGGAAGACCAAGGGUUCCUGUCCAACGUUAAUCGGGGCAGGGUGAGUCGACCCCUAAGGCGAGGCCGAAAGGCGUAGUCGAUGGGAAACGGGUUAAUAUUCCCGUACUUGGUGUUACUGCGAAGGGGGGACGGAGAAGGCUAUGUUGGCCGGGCGACGGUUGUCCCGGUUUAAGCGUGUAGGUGUGUGUUCCAGGUAAAUCCGGUUCACUUUAACACUGAGGCGUGACGACGAGGCACUACGGUGCUGAAGCAACAAAUGCCCUGCUUCCAGGAAAAGCCUCUAAGCAUCAGGUAACAUCAAAUCGUACCCCAAACCGACACAGGUGGUCAGGUAGAGAAUACCAAGGCGCUUGAGAGAACUCGGGUGAAGGAACUAGGCAAAAUGGUGCCGUAACUUCGGGAGAAGGCACGCUGACACGUAGGUGAAGUGAUUUACUCAUGGAGCUGAAGUCAGUCGAAGAUACCAGCUGGCUGCAACUGUUUAUUAAAAACACAGCACUGUGCAAACACGAAAGUGGACGUAUACGGUGUGACGCCUGCCCGGUGCCGGAAGGUUAAUUGAUGGGGUCAGCGCAAGCGAAGCUCCUGAUCGAAGCCCCGGUAAACGGCGGCCGUAACUAUAACGGUCCUAAGGUAGCGAAAUUCCUUGUCGGGUAAGUUCCGACCUGCACGAAUGGCGUAAUGAUGGCCAGGCUGUCUCCACCCGAGACUCAGUGAAAUUGAACUCGCUGUGAAGAUGCAGUGUACCCGCGGCAAGACGGAAAGACCCCGUGAACCUUUACUAUAGCUUGACACUGAACAUUGAGCCUUGAUGUGUAG